CCUGACCACUUCAAAGUGAAGGCUCUUCAAUUUCCAAAUCUCCACCUCUACCUAUUCAGGAUGAGGUAUGAUGAUGCUGAAGAGGAGUGAGGUCAUCUCUACUCAUCAGAAAAGCAGGCCCCGACUUCACCGCUAUCCCGUGAGAAGGCGGGCGUCACUGGGCAGGCAUCACAGGGAGAGACCACACUCUGCACCUUCCUCAACCCCCUGGUAUCUGUUACUAAAGUCCUGAGAUGAUGGGGUCAUCGUCACCUGUUUCAUGGCUUUUGGUACAAACAAGAUGGGUCAGUGACGCCCACCUCUGUGCUCUCAACUUUCCUUUCUCCCAAGUGCAGAGGACACCCCUCCUGUUGGUCACGAUCCUACUAAAUGGGUUAAAGGUGGGGCGAUUCUGGAGACUGAAAGGCCUUCACUCUGAAGUGGUCAGGUGCCACAUCUAUUAUGAUGUCAUGGCUUGAAAUUAACUGAAGAAGGGAGGUUUGGCCCACCUUGAAGUACUUCUAGCCAACAUUCCCUGUUUUCCAAUAAAGCACAGAUAUGCAAAUAA